rnacentral:rRNA from 1 species
GAUGAACGCUGACAGCAUGCUUAACACAUCAGCAAUGGAUUGGUGGCGGACGGGUGAGUAACGCGUAUAGAACUUGCCUCGCAGGUAGGGACGACAUUUGGACACGAAUGCUAAUACCUCAUACUGUGAGAGAGCUUUGCGUCACAUUAGCUAGUUGGAGAGGUAACGGCUCACGAAGGCGAGGAUGGGUAGCCGGACUGAGAGGGUGAGCGGCCACAAGGGGAUUGGGAAACCGCCAUUACUCAUUAGGGAGGCAGCAGUGGGGAAUAUAGGAAAAUGGACCAAAGUCUGAUCCAGCAAUUCUGUGUGCACGAUGAUGUUGUCGGAAUGUAAAGGGUUUUCAGUUGGGAAGCGGUACCAACAGAAGAAGUGACGGCUAAAUACGUGCCAGCAGCCGCGGUAAUAC